CGUGAACUGUGGGGACACGUAAGGAAAGCGGAAGCCGGGAAUGGAAAGCCCGGUGCAAGCGGGGUACCAGCCACUUUGGCAAAUCCGGGUGGCAAUGGGAAGCCGUGAUGCGGAGCGAAAUAAAGUAGCGAAGUCCGUGAGCCAUGCGUCAAGAAAAGCCGCUAUUGUUUAUACCGUACCCGUACCGUAAACCGACACAGGUGGAUGAGGAGAGAAUCCUAAGGCCGGCGGAAGAAGCAUUGUCAAGGAACUCGGCAAAAUGGCCCCGUAACUUAGGGAUAAGGGGUGCCUGGGAAACCAGGCCGCAGAGAAUAGGCUCAAGCAACUGUUUAGCAAAAACACAGGUCUAUGCGAAACCGAAAGGUGAGGUAUAUGGGCUGACGCCUGCCCGGUGCUGGAAGGUUAAGAGGAGAGGUUAGCGCAAGCGAAGCUUUGAAUUUAAGCCCCAGUAAACGGCGGCCGUAACAAUAACGGUCCUAAGGUAGCGAAAUUCCUUGUCGGGUAAGUUCCGACCCGCACGAAAGGCGUAAUGAUUUGAGCGCUGUCUCGACAAUGCAUCCGGUGAAAUUGAAGUACCAGUGAAGAUGCUGGUUACCUGCGCCAGGACGGAAAGACCCCAUGGAGCUUUACUCCAGUCUGGUACUGGGACUCGGUAUUGCAUGUACAGGAUAGGUGGGAGGCUAGGAGAUGGUAACGCCAGUUGCCAUGGAGCCGCUGUUGGGAUACCACCCUUGCAGUAUUGGGUUUCUAACCAGCCGCCGUGACCCGGCGGUGGGACAAUGCCAGACGGGGAGUUUGACUGGGGCGGUCGCCUCCGAAAGGGUAUCGGAGGCGCCCAAAGGUUCCCUCAGAAUGGACGGAAACCAUUCGAAGAGUGCAAAGGCAGAAGGGAGCUUGACUGCGACACCGACGGGUGGAGCAGGUACGAAAGUAGGGCUUAGUGAUCCGGUGGUAUUAAGUGGGAAUGCCAACGCUCAACGGAUAAAAGCUACCCUGGAUAACAGGCCUAUCACUCCCAAGAGCUCACAUCGACGGAGUGGUUUGGCACCUCGAUGUCGGCUCAUCGCAUCCUGGGGCUGUAGUAGGUCCCAAGGGUUGGGCUGUUCGCCCAUUAAAGCGGUACGCGAGCUGGGUUCAGAACGUCGUGAGACAGUUCGGUCCCUAUCCGGCGUGGGCGUAGGAUAUCUGAGAGGAGCUGUCCUUAGUACGAGAGGACCGGGAUGGACGGGCCGCUGGUGCAUCGGUUAGACUGCCAAGUCUACGGCCGAGUAGCCAAGCCCGGAAGGGAUAAACGCUGAAGGCAUCUAAGCGUGAAGCCCCCCUUAAGAUGAGAUAUCCCAUUCGAAAGAAGUAAACCCCCUUGAAGACGACGAGGUAGAUAGGGCAGAGGUGGAAGUGCAGCAAUGCAUGGAGCUGACUGUUACUAAUCGGGUGAGGGCUUGACC
rnacentral:rRNA from 1 species